AUGAACGCUGGCGGCGUGCUUAACACAUGCAAGUCGAACGAGAAAUGUAGACGGAAACCUUCGGGCGGAAGCCUUCAUUUCGAGUGGCGGACGGGUGAGUAACGCGUGGGUAACCUGCCUCAUACAGGGGGAUAACAGUUGGAAACGACUGUUAAUACCGCAUAAGACCACAGCAUCGCAUGAUGCGGGGGUAAAAACUCCGGUGGUAUGAGAUGGACCCGCGUUCGAUUAGCCAGUUGGCGGGGUAACGGCCCACCAAAGCGACGAUCGAUAGCCGAUUUGAGAGGAUGACCGGCCACAUUGGGACUGAGACACGGCCCAAACUCCUACGGGAGGCAGCAGUGGGGAAUAUUGCACAAUGGGGGAAACCCUGAUGCAGCGACGCCGCGUGAGUGAAGAAGUACUUCGGUAUGUAAAGCUCUAUCAGCAGGGAAGAAAAUGACGGUACCUGAGUAAGAAGCCCCGGCUAACUACGUG
rnacentral:rRNA from 1 species